rnacentral:tRNA from 1 species
GCCUUCGUGGUGUAGUGGUCAGCACGCUGGGCGCGUAUUCCAGAGGUCCGUGGUUCGAGUCCCGGCGAAGGCU